rnacentral:rRNA from 1 species
UACGUAGGUGGCAAGCGUUGUCCGGAAUUAUUGGGCGUAGAGGGAGCGCAGGCGGGACGCCAAGUCCAAAUUAAAAGUUCGGGAGUAAUGCCCGUGAUGGUUUGGAAACUGACGUUCUUGAGAGCAGGAGAGGCAAGCGGAAUUCUCGGUGUAGCGGUGAAAUGCGUAGAUAUCGGGAGGAACACCAGUGGCGAAGGCGGCUUGCUGGACUGUAUCUGACGCUGAGGCUCGAAAGCCAGGGUAGCGAACG